UGCAGCUCCUUCCAUCCCCGGCCCCGGUGCUGGGGAGAUCCUGCAGCCUCGCAAGGAGAUAAAUCCUGGGAAAAGAGAUGGGGAGGGGGGAAGGAAUCUUAACACCGCUUCCAGCAGAGUCGGGGAGGUUUCCUCAUCGACUUCAAGGGGAAUAAGAUGGAUCAGGCCUCGAGGAUGGUAAUUACGCCUUCAGUCGAAGCUGGCAGGUGACCACUUAUGAGAAGGAGGUGGCACACGGUGACACUGUCUCUUUAAAAUGGUUGUCUCCGUGCGGAUCAGGGGUCGGGGAUUUUGGGGAGGCGGAUUAAGGGACGGUUUCGAGGGGAGCUCUGGCACUCCUGCUCCUUCCCUGGCGGCGCCGGGUCAGAGCAGGCAGGAGGGAUGCUCUCCCUCCUGGGUUAAUUAGAAAGGCCCUUCCUGCCUGCAUCCCGUGCUCAGAGCCAAGGUGGCUUUUGAAAACCACCCCCAAAAAAGAGCCUGGGAGAGGUGAGGGAUGUGUCUGCUCCCACAUGAACCCAGCAGUGGAAGAGAAAAGGCAAACCAGGAUUCAGCUGAGCAGCCGAGAAGGAAGCUGCUCAUGCCAGGUGGGGGAGGAGGAGUUAAGGAAGGAGUGUGCUCUUCCCAGGAGCACAGCUGCUCCUCCCUUCCUCAGAUCGGGAGAAAGCACCGAGCUGGGGAGCAGCAGCCAUCCCCAGGAUAGAGCAACGGCCCAUCCCAAGCGAGGAGAGGACAUCCCUCAGCCUGCUGCUCCCAGGAGACAACGCCACAGCUCCUCAGGGGCUCGGCCUUCUCAACAUCCUCCAGGAAUUUCUCUCCUAAGAGCUUGCCCAGUUUCCUCUCAACCCUGCAGCGAGGAGUUCUGGAGAUAACUGCUUGCAAGAAGCACAGAUGUGUUAAAUCUUGCUUCUGCCACCUUCACCUGAAGGCAUGAAAUGGGGUUUGGUCCCGUUUGUUCCCCCACUGAGUGUUUGGGAAUUCUGCCGGAGACAUCACAUAACCUCAGAAAAGAGGCAAAAACUCCAAGACAUUUCCCUGGGAAUGCACAAGGGCAUUUCCAUCCUCCAGCAGCCCUGCGUGGGGAGGGAGCUGGGAGUUACCCCAGGGGAGGGCACAGGACAGAUCCCUUGUGGCCACUCCUCAGCCCCACGCCAGUCCUGAGACCCUCCCCCAGUCCUGUGCCACCCCAGGGAAAUUGUCCCAUCCCUGUGUCCCUCCACUCUGCAUUUCUGAUACCCCAGGGCUGGGGUUGUCUCUUCCCCCAUGGCUCUCAGUGACUCCCUGCUCAUGAGGGACAAACUGGAGAUCACCAAAUUAUUCCUAUAUUUCCCAUUUUUUUGGAUAUUGCUUUUCAACCCAACCCAUCAACGGAUCAUUCCCUUCCCACGUGUUCAGCAGUAGGCACAGGGUGAUGCUCCUGGAAAAUAUCUGCUUUCAAUGGUUUCUGUUUAAAAUUUGAGUGUGAAGUUGGGUAGAGGCUCGCACGUGGUGACUUCCAGAAGGGCUGGGGAGCCGCUGUGUUCUGGGGCUGGCACCCACUCGAAGCCCCCAGUCUGAUGGCAUCAGGGCGGGAGACAAUGGGGGACAGAGCUGCUGUCCCCAAAACAAGGGGCACAGGGGGGAAAAAGGGACAAACCCCUGCAGGAGGGCAAAUUCAACAUCUGAUCCUGGCUCACUCUUCAGGGAGGUGUUGCCAGGGAUUUGGGGAUCAGAGGUGGUUUGAAUGAUAAUUACCCAUCUUCAGCUGUCACCCAGGAGGUGUUUAUGUGAAGAAUUGUUGUGACCAUAAUACAGGACUUUCAGCUCUUUUUAUUUCGUUGAUUUAGUGGAUUUUCAUUCUCUCUUUUCUUUCAUUUUCUGGAAGCACUAUAAACCCAAAGUCCUCCAGCAUCACCCUCUCUACAAAAUGCAGAUUUA